GACGAACGCUGGCGGCGUGCCUAAUACAUGCAAGUAGAACGCUGAAGGAGGAGCUUGCUUCUCUGGAUGAGUUGCGAACGGGUGAGUAACGCGUAGGUAACCUGCCUGGUAGCGGGGGAUAACUAUUGGAAACGAUAGCUAAUACCGCAUAAGAGUAGAUGUUGCAUGACAUUUGCUUAAAAGGUGCAAUUGCAUCACUACCAGAUGGACCUGCGUUGUAUUAGCUAGUUGGUGAGGUAACGGCUCACCAAGGCGACGAUACAUAGCCGACCUGAGAGGGUGAUCGGCCACACUGGGACUGAGACACGGCCCAGACUCCUACGGGAGGCAGCAGUAGGGAAUCUUCGGCAAUGGACGGAAGUCUGACCGAGCAACGCCGCGUGAGUGAAGAAGGUUUUCGGAUCGUAAAGCUCUGUUGUAAGAGAAGAACGAGUAUGAGAGUGGAAAGUUCACACUGUGACGAUAUCUUACCAGAAAGGGACGGCUAACUACGUG
rnacentral:rRNA from 1 species